CGUGCAGGCGGGCGUGCAAGUCUGAUGUGAAAGCCCCGGGCUUAACCUGGGAAGUGCAUUGGAAACUGCACGUCUUGAGUUGCGGAGAGGAAGGGGGAAUUCCCGGUGUAGAGGUGAAAUUCGUAGAGAUCGGGAGGAAUACCAGUGGCGAAGGCGCCCUUCUGGACGACAACUGACGCUGAGACGCGAAAGCGUGGGGAGCAAACAGGAUUAGAUACCCUGGUAGUCCACGCUGUAAACGAUGAGCACUAGGUGUAGCGGGUAAUCAUUCCUGCUGUGCCGCAGCUAACGCGUUAAGUGCUCCGCCUGGGGAUUACGGUCGCAAGACUAAA
rnacentral:rRNA from 1 species